GUGAUUUCAAAAUAAUCAUUUCUGGCUGGGGUUGUAGCUCAGUGGUUCCACCGCCUGCCUCGCAAAUGCAAGGACCCGAGUUCGAUCCCUCGUACCAAAAUAAUCACUUCUUUCUAUCAGUGCACAACAAAUAGGAUAUGAGUCUCCUCAGGCUGUCAUAACAAAAUAGCAUAGACUACGUGGCUUAAACAAUCGAAACUUAUUUCCUCACAUUCUGGAGGCUGGAAGUCCAAGAUAAAGGUAUCGUCUUGGUAGCUUCUUCCAGAAAGCUAUCAGAGAGAAUCUGUUCCAGAUCUCAGUCUAGUGGUUUGCUGAUAAUCUUUGCUCCUUGGUUUCUGUUGUGGUGCCCUGAUCUCUGCCUCCAUAUAACAUGGUAUUCUCCGUGUGUGUGUGUGUGUGUGUGCGUGCGUGCGCGCGUCUGUUCAAAUUACCUAAUUAAGUGUACCCUAAUGACCUCAUUGUAACUUGACUUCCCUUACAGUUAUCUGGGAAAUUAUUUCUGCUUUGAUUUUUUUCUAGAGCCUCGUUCAUCAGCUUUGUUACUUCUGGUAUUACCACUUCAGAGUCCGAGGGAGUGGCUUUCAGUUCGAUUCCUGGAUUGAUGCUUGUAAAUUGCUUAUGGUGGACACAAUUCAGCCCUGUAUUGGCCAGCUUCCUGUUGCUGGGACAAAAUACCUUGACACCUACAACUUAAAGGAGAAGAGAUUUCAUAGUUUCGGAAGUUUCAAUCCAUGGAUGGCUGGCUCCAAGGCAGAAACAUCACAGCAGAAGCUUAGUAAAACAAAACCGCUUACUUUAUGGUGCCUGAGAAGCAGAACACAAGGAAAAAGUGCCAAAGAGGAACGGCCCAGGACCUAGAUACAGUCCCUGAGGUCAUAGGCCUCAUGACCCAGUUAUUCCAACUACUUCCCCAUAGCCCACUCAACUAUGAACUCAUCAGUAGCCAUUGAUGAGGUUGGUGCCCUCAUAAUCCUAUCACCUCUCAGGGGUCUCUUAAUCCAGUGAAGUUCAAAAGAUGAAGUGACAUGAGCUCAUAAAGGACAGAUUUAAAAAUUAAUACAUAGAAAUUAAUCCAUAUGAUUUUUUAUACAGAUUGGUUAUUGAUUACCUUAUUAAAUAGAUUUUAUUUUUUACAAACAAUUAUAACAUGGGUGACUUUUAGAAGUUAAGACAAAAAAUGAGAGGGUCAGGAAUUUAGCUCAGUGGUUCUGGCAUCUGCCUCACAACUGCAAGCUCUGGAGUUCAAUCCCCGGUACCAAAGACAAAAAAUGAGAGCUAUUGAAAAUUAUGCUUUCAAGCACUGAAAUUUAAAAAAGCAUAAAGUAUAUAAAAUGUCCAUCUUUAAUCUUUAGAAAUUACAUAUGUACAUGCUUUUUAGAAAUUAUAUAUACAUAUACUUAAAUAACUGAAGGCAAUAAGCCAAAAUGAACACUGGUUAUCUCUGCUUCAUGGGCUUUUUGUGAGAUGAGACUGUUUUCUCCAUUAGAAAUCUGAGACUCAGAGAAGUUAGGUGGCACACCCAGGCUCACAGCUACUAAGAGGCUGGAUGGUAUUAGAAUUCAGAUUGGCUGGGAGCCAAAGCCCCUUCCUAUAACCAGUAUGUCUCAGUACAAUAAUUACUAUGCUCUGAGUGCCUACAAUAUGCC
rnacentral:lncRNA from 1 species